rnacentral:rRNA from 1 species
GGCCAGACUCCUACGGGAGGCAGCAGUGGGGAAUAUUGCGCAAUGGGGGAAACCCUGACGCAGCAACGCCGCGUGAGUGAGGAAGUAUCUCGGUAUGUAAAGCUCUAUCAGCGGGGAAGAAGGAAGACGGUACCCGACUAAGAAGCCCCGGCUAACUACGUGCCAGCAGCCGCGGUAAUACGUAGGGGGCAAGCGUUAUCCGGAUUUACUGGGUGUAAAGGGAGCGUAGACGGCUGCGCAAGUCAGAAGUGAAAGCCCGGGGCUCAACCGCGGGACUGCUUUUGAAACUGUGUAGCUAGAGUGCAGGAGAGGUAAGUGGAAUUCCUAGUGUAGCGGUGAAAUGCGUAGAUAUUAGGAGGAACACCGGUGGCGAAGGCGGCUUACUGGACUGUAACUGACGUUGAGGCUCGAAAGCGUGGGGAGCAAACAGGAUUAGAUACCCCGGUAU